rnacentral:rRNA from 1 species
ACGACUCUCGAAAACAGAUAUCUUGGCUCUCACAUCAAUGGAGAACAUAGCAAAAUAUGAUACUUGGUGUGAAUUGCAGAAUCCCGCGAACCAUC